GUCGAACGGUAGCAGGCUUUCGGGCGCUGACGAGUGGCGGACGGUGAGUAACGCGUAGGAAUCUGCCCUGUAGUGGGGGACAACUUAGGGAAACUUAAGCUAAUACCGCAUACGCUCCCUGUCUUGACUGAUGGGGAGGAAAGCGGGGGACCUUCGGGCCUCGCGCUAUAGGAUGAGCCUGCGUUGGAUUAGCUAGUUGGUGGGGUAAAGGCCUACCAAGGCGACGAUCCAUAGCUGGUCUGAGAGGACGAUCAGCCACACUGGGACUGAGACACGGCCCAGACUCCUACGGGAGGCAGCAGUGGGGAAUAUUGGACAAUGGGCGGAAGCCUGAUCCAGCAAUACCGCGUGUGUGAAGAAGGCCUGAGGGUUGUAAAGCACUUUCAAUAGGAAGGAAUACCUACCCAUUAAUACUGGGUAGACUGACAUUACCUAUACAAGAAGCACCGGCUAACUCCGUGCCAGCAGCCGCGGUAAUACGGAGGGUGCGAGCGUUAAUCGGAAUUACUGGGCGUAAAGCGUGCGUAGGCGGUUGUUUAAGUCAGAUGUGAAAGCCCCGGGCUUAACCUGGGAACGGCAUUUGAUACUGGGCAACUAGAGUUUAAGAGAGGGGAGUGGAAUUUCAGGUGUAGCGGUGAAAUGCGUAGAGAUCUGAAGGAACACCAGUGGCGAAGGCGACUCCCUGGCUUAAGACUGACGCUGAGGUACGAAAGCGUGGGUAGCAAACAGGAUUAGAUACCCUGGUAGU
rnacentral:rRNA from 1 species